rnacentral:rRNA from 1 species
UGGGGAAUUUUGGACAAUGGGCGCAAGCCUGAUCCAGCAAUGCCGCGUGCAGGAUGAAGGCCUUCGGGUUGUAAACUGCUUUUGUACGGAACGAAAAGCCUCUCUCUAAUACAGGGGGGUGAUGACGGUACCGUAAGAAUAAGCACCGGCUAACUACGUGCCAGCAGCCGCGGUAAUACGUAGGGUGCAAGCGUUAAUCGGAAUUACUGGGCGUAAAGCGUGUGCAGGCGGUUUUGUAAGACAGUGGUGAAAUCCCCGGGCUCAACCUGGGAACUGCCAUUGUGACUGCAAGGCUGGAGUGCGGCAGAGGGGGGAUGGAAUUCCGCGUGUAGCAGUGAAAUGCGUAGAUAUGCGGAGGAACACCGAUGGCGAAGGCAAUCCCCUGGGCCUGCACUGACGCUCAUGCACGAAAGCGUGGGGAGCAAACAGGAUUAGAUACCCUGGUAGUCCACGCCCUAAACGAUGUCAACUGGUUGUUGGGGAUUUAUUUCUUCAGUAACGAAGCUGAACGCGUGAAGUUGACCGCCUGGGGGAGUACGGCCNCAAGGUUAAAAACU